rnacentral:rRNA from 1 species
GAUGAACGCUGGCGGCGUGCCUAAUACAUGCAAGUCGAGCGAACAGAUGAGGAGCUUGCUCCUCUGACGUUAGCGGCGGCCGGGUGAGUAACACGUGGAUAACCUACCUAUAAGACUGGGAUAACUUCGGGAAACCGGAGCUAAUACCGGAUAAUAUAUUGAACCGCAUGGUUCAAUAGUGAAAGACGGUUUUGCUGUCACUUAUAGAUGGAUCCGCGCCGCAUUAGCUAGUUGGUAAGGUAACGGCUUACCAAGGCAACGAUGCGUAGCCGACCUGAGAGGGUGAUCGGCCACACUGGAACUGAGACACGGUCCAGACUCCUACGGUAGGCAGCAGUAGGGAAUCUUCCGCAGUGGGCGAAAGCCUGACGGAGCAACGCCGCGUGGGUGAUGAAGGUCUUCGGAUCGUAAAACUCUGUUAUUAGGGAAGAACAAAUGUGUAAGUAACUAUGCACGUCUUGACGGUACCUAAUCAGAAAGCCACGGCUAACUACGUG